AUAUGGUGAAAAAGAUCGAAUUUUGGGGGUUUAACGGGUCGGUGAAAUAAUCGGUAGAAUUGAGGAAAAAGAUUGAAUUUGUGAUGAAAUUGAACCAAAAGAUUGAAUCUUCGGGUUAAUGGGACGGUGAGAAAUUGGUGGAAUUGAGGAAACGAUUGAAUUUUUGGUGGAAUUGAGGAAAAAGAUUGAACUUUAGGACUAAUGGGUAGGUAAAAAUUGGUCGAAUUGAGGAAACGGAACGAUCAAUUGGGUUAAUUGAUCGGUGAAAAUUGGAUGGAAAUGAAGGAGAGGUUUAGGAAGAGGGAGAUGUGAGUUUAGGGUUUUGCGAGAUAUGGAAAAGGGGUUCCGCGUGAAGGCG
rnacentral:lncRNA from 1 species